rnacentral:misc_RNA from 1 species
AAGGAGUCUAACAUGUACGCGAGUGUAUGAGUGGCAAACUCAUGCGCGGAAUGAAAGUGAACGUAGGUGGGACUCGCAAGAGGCACCAUCGACCGAUCUGGAAGUUUACUGAAAGAUUUGAGUAAGAGCGUACCUGCUGGGACCCGAAAGAUGGUGAACUAUGCCUGAAUAGGGCGAAGCCAGAGGAAACUCUGGUGGAGGCUCGUAGCGAUUCUGACGUGCAAAUCGAUCGUCAAAUUUGGGUAUAGGGGCGAAAGACUAAUCGAACCAUCUAGUAGCUGGUUCCCUC